GUGUUACUGGGAGUUCCCUAUAAGCACUUCACGAGGCAUUGGCUUAUUAAGAGCUCUUGUGAAGUGUUUGGGGAACUCUUAGUGUCAC
rfam:Setaria italica strain Yugu1 chromosome VII, whole genome shotgun sequence.